rnacentral:rRNA from 1 species
UACGAAGGGUGCAAGCGUUACUCGGAAUUACUGGGCGUAAAGCGUGUGCAGGCGGUUUGUUAAGUCUGCUGUGAAAUCCCCGGGCUCAACCUGGGAAUGGCAGUGGAGACUGGAAAGCUGGAGUGCGGUAGAGGGUAGUGGAAUUCCCGGUGUAGCGGUGAAAUGCGUAGAGAUCGGGAGGAACACCAGUGGCGAAGGCGGCUACCUGGACCAGCACUGACACUCAGACACGAAAGCGUGGGGAGCAAACAGG